GAUGAACGCUGGCGGCGUGCUUAACACAUGCAAGUCGAGCGAAGCGCUUAAGUUUGAUUCUUCGGAUGAAGACUUUUGUGACUGAGCGGCGGACGGGUGAGUAACGCGUGGGUAACCUGCCUCAUACAGGGGGAUAACAGUUAGAAAUGACUGCUAAUACCGCAUAAGACCACGGUACCGCAUGGUACAGUGGUAAAAACUCCGGUGGUAUGAGAUGGACCCGCGUCUGAUUAGGUAGUUGGUGGGGUAACGGCCUACCAAGCCGACGAUCAGUAGCCGACCUGAGAGGGUGACCGGCCACAUUGGGACUGAGACACGGCCCAGACUCCUACGGGAGGCAGCAGUGGGGAAUAUUGCACAAUGGAGGAAACUCUGAUGCAGCGACGCCGCGUGAAGGAUGAAGUAUUUCGGUAUGUAAACUUCUAUCAGCAGGGAAGAAAAUGACGGUACCUGACUAAGAAGCCCCGGCUAACUACGUGC
rnacentral:rRNA from 1 species